rnacentral:misc_RNA from 1 species
GCAGGGCACGUCCAAAGGAGAAAGAAAGAGACCAUGGCUUCUUCCCCUUGAGCUUGUUCAUGGCAUUAAGGUUGAUGGUGGCCUCCUCUUCGCUCUGUCCGCCAGACAAGAACACAAUAGCUGGAACUGCAGCAGGAACGGUUCGUUGUAGGGCAAGGACGGUGUGCUCCGCAAUCACUUCUGGUGCAACCUUUGCAGAUUGAGAUCCAGGGGUAACCAUGUUGGGCUUCAACAAGGUUCCUUCAAGGAGAACGUGGUGGUCAUUUAGAGCCUUGUAGCAUGCAGCAAGAA